rnacentral:piRNA from 1 species
CCUCAAGUCAGUCUAGCAGUCUAGAGA